ensembl:snRNA U6 U6 spliceosomal RNA
GUGCUCGCUUCGGCAGCACGUACACUAAAAUUGGAAUGAUACAGAGAAGAUCAGCAUGGCCCCUGCACAAGGAUGACACGCAAAUUCAUGAAGCACUCCAUAUUUUU